GUGAGCCCGCCCGCCACUCAGUGCCCAGGGCGUGCCGCCUCCGCGUCCUGCGUCCCAUCCUCUCCCAGCAGGUGGGCGUGCACUGCUACAGCAGGAGGGGAAGGAAGGCUCCUGAGUCCCUGGCCCGGCUGUCCUCUCCGUGGUGCUCUCCUCUCCGUAGCCUCCAGCCUGUCUGCACUGCAGCCCCAACCUGGGCCUAGCCCGCUGACCUCUGACCUUCUCUUUCGUUUUAAGAAACGCUUGAAAGCAGCUGAAGCUGAGAGCAAGUUGAAGCAAGUUUAUAUUCCCAACUAUAACAAACCAAAUCCAAACCAAAUCAGCGUCAACAACGUCAAGGCCGGUGUGGUGAACGGCACGGGAGCACCGGGCCAGAGCCCUGGGGCUGGCCGAGCCUGCGAGAGCUGUUACACCACACAGUCUUACCAGUGGUAUUCUUGGGGUCCCCCUAACAUGCAGUGUCGUCUCUGCGCAUCUUGUUGGACAUAUUGGAAGAAAUAUGGUGGCUUGAAAAUGCCAACCCGGUUAGAUGGAGAGAGGCCAGGACCAAACCGCAGUAACAUG
rnacentral:sRNA from 1 species